CGAAAGCCUGACGGAGCAACGCCGCGUGAGGGAGGAAGGCCUGUGGGUUGUAAACCUCUUUUCUCAGGGAAGAAGAUCUGACGGUACCUGAGGAAUCAGCAUCGGCUAACUCCGUGCCAGCAGCCACGGUAAGACGGAGGAUGCAAGCGUUAUCCGGAAUUAUUGGGCGUAAAGCGUCCGUAGGCGGCUAAUCAAGUCUGCUGUCAAAGCCCACAGCUCAACUGUGGAGAGGCAGUGGAAACUGGAUAGCUAGAGUGUGGUAGGGGCAGAGGGAAUUCCUGGUGUAGCGGUGAAAUGCGUAGAUAUCAGGAAGAACACCAGUGGCGAAGGCGCUCUGCUGGGCCAUAACUGACGCUGAUGGACGAAAGCUAGGGGAGCG
rnacentral:rRNA from 1 species